rnacentral:lncRNA from 1 species
GAAUGGCUCACAGUCAUAAUAAGUUGCUGAGGCCAUCUAGUGGUGGCACAUUUGAUUAAGAGCGGAAUUGCCAAUUCAGCCUACCAGGUUUUUGAAGAACAAGUGGAUGGAGUUCCUCUUCUCCAGCCUCUUAGGGAGGACGGGGGAAUUGUCUCCACCCUCGGAGGGUCCUGAUGCUGGCUUGCUGUCCACAGCAGGGAUCUCUGGGGCCUUUGGUUCUUCCUUGGCCACACUUGGGCCAGCUACGGCUUCUGCAGCUGGGGCUGGGGCUUCCUUUUUGGGCUCAGAAGCCUGAUUGAAUUACGACAAAUAAUGAAAAGAUACAUUUCUGAGUGUCAUUUUUAUCAUGUAAUGUUAAUCGUAAAGCCAUUACUCGGUCCAAAGCUGUAUUAUGACGUUGCCUCCUUUCUCUCACCAGGUUGAUUAGAGGACCCGAAGAGGCAUCUUUGGCAACUAAUCUCUUGUGGACAGACUACGUAAAGAAUCGAACUUCUG